rnacentral:rRNA from 1 species
UACGUAGGGGGCAAGCGUUGUCUGGAAUCAUUGGGCGUAAAGCGCGUGUAGGCGGCUCGGUAAGUCUGCUGUGAAAGUCCAGGGCUCAACCCUGGGAUGCCGGUGGAUACUGUCGAGCUCGAGUCCGGAAGAGGCGAGUGGAAUUCCUGGUGUAGCGGUGAAAUGCGCAGAUAUCAGGAGGAACACCAAUGGCGAAGGCAGCUCGCUGGGACGUGACUGACGCUGAGACGCGAAAGCGUGGGGAGCAAACAGG